rnacentral:snRNA from 1 species
AGCUUUGCACAGUGGCAGUAUCGUAGCUAAUGAGGUUUAUCCGAGGCGCGAAUAUUGCUAAUUGAAAAAAUACCUCUAUUAAAAAAAACAAUUUAUAAUAGAAACUUACACAAUAUCUAUUG